rnacentral:rRNA from 1 species
UACGUAGGGGGCAAGCGUUGUCCGGAAUUAUUGGGCGUAAAGAGCUCGUAGGCGGUCUGUCACGUCGGAUGUGAAAAUCCGGGGCUCAACCCCGGACUUGCAGUGGGUACGGGCAGACUGGAGUGUGGUAGGGGAGACUGGAAUUCCUGGUGUAGCGGUGGAAUGCGCAGAUAUCAGGAGGAACACCGAUGGCGAAGGCAGGUCUCUGGCCACUACUGGACGCUGAGAAGCGAAAGCAUGGGAGCGAACAGG